AUUGAACGCUGGCGGCAUGCCUAACACAUGCAAGUCGAACGAGGGCUUCGGCCCUAGUGGCGCACGGGUGAGUAACGCGUGGGAACCUGCCCUGUGGUACGGAAUAACUCCGGGAAACUGGAGCUAAUACCGUAUGCGUCCUGCGGGACAAAGAUUUAUCGCCAUGGGAUGGGCCCGCGCAGGAUUAGCUUGUUGGUGGGGUAACGGCCUACCAAGGCAACGAUCCUUAGCUGGUCUGAGAGGAUGAUCAGCCACACUGGGACUGAGACACGGCCCAGACUCCGACGGGAGGCAGCAGUGGGGAAUAUUGGACAAUGGGCGCAAGCCUGAUCCAGCAAUGCCGCGUGAGUGAUGAAGGCCUUCGGGUUGUAAAGCUCUUUCGCACGCGACGAUGAUGACGGUAGCGUGAGAAGAAGCCCCGGCUAACUCUGUGCCAGCCGCCGCCGUAACAC
rnacentral:rRNA from 1 species